GAUGAACGCUGGCGGCGUGCCUAAUACAUGCAAGUCGAGUGAACAGACGAGGAGCUUGCUCCUCUGACGUUAGCGGCGGACGGGUGAGUAACACGUGGAUAACCUACCUAUAAGACUGGGAUAACUUCGGGAAACCGGAGCUAAUACCGGAUAAUAUAUUGAACCGCAUGGUUCAAUAGUGAAAGACGGUUUUGCUGUCACUUAUAGAUGGAUCCGCGCCGCAUUAGCUAGUUGGUAAGGUAACGGCUUACCAAGGCAACGAUGCGUAGCCGACCUGAGAGGGUGAUCGGCCACACUGGAACUGAGACACGGUCCAGACUCCUACGGGAGGCAGCAGUAGGGAAUCUUCCGCAAUGGGCGAAAGCCUGACGGAGCAACGCCGCGUGAGUGAUGAAGGUCUUCGGACCGUAAAACUCUGUUAUUAGGGAAGAACAAAUGUGUAAGUAACUAUGCACGUCUUGACGGUACCUAAUCAGAAAGCCACGGCUAACUACGUG
rnacentral:rRNA from 1 species